rnacentral:rRNA from 1 species
GAUGAACGCUGGCGGCGUGCCUAAUACAUGCAAGUCGAGCGAACAGACGAGGAGCUUGCUCCUCUGACGUUAGCGGCGGACGGGUGAGUAACACGUGGAUAACCUACCUAUAAGACUGGGAUAACUUCGGGAAACCGGAGCUAAUACCGGAUAAUAUAUUGAACCGCAUGGUUCAAUAGUGAAAGACGGUUUUGCUGUCACUUAUAGAUGGAUCCGCGCCGCAUUAGCUAGUUGGUAAGGUAACGGCUUACCAAGGCAACGAUGCGUAGCCGACCUGAGAGGGUGCUCGGCCACACUGGAACUGAGACACGGUCCAGACUCCUACGGGAGGCAGCAGUAGGGAAUCUUCCGCAAUGGGCGAAAGCCUGACGGAGCAACGCCGCGUGAGUGAUGAAGGUCUUCGGAUCGUAAGACUCUGUUAUUAGGGAAGAACAAAUGUGUAAGUAACUAUGCACGUCUUGACGGUACCUAAUCAGAAAGCCACGGCUAACUACGUG